rnacentral:sRNA from 1 species
AUUUUCAAAUCAUAUUGGCAUAUACAUCAAAUCCUAUUUUCAAAUCCUAAUUGAUGUAUAAAUUAAAACUAUUAUUACAUCAAAAAUAGAUAUGUUCACAUUGGGCGGAUGAUGGCGCGUCACUCAUUGUGCAAAAAUUGUUCAUAAUUAUGGAUUUUUGGAUGAUGGCGCGUCACUCAUUGGCCGGUUUGAUUCAUUGUUUGAAUGUAUCCUUUAUGUCAGAUUGAUUGUUUGAUCAUGAACAACAACAUCCAGACUCUAAAAUUAGCAGUUGCUGCCCAUCAUGCCGAGGAAUUGAGCUUGGUUAUUGGUCAAUUCCCAUUCUUUUUUUAAUUCAGCUAAUCUUUUAAUUAUUAGCUAACCAUUUGUCUUUUCCAUUGAGAAAAUCCCUAUUGUCGUUAAGACCAUGCAACUUGAACGAGUUCUUCAUCUCACACUUUGUGGUCGCAAAACCACCGGUCCCAUAGUCUCUCCCCAACCAAAUUCUUUCCUUUGUGCUUAGGUAUUCUAGUUUGAAUCAUUUAUUCAGGAGAUAAAUAUAACAUUCUCGUUAUCUAACUAUCUUUAUUUCUUCUCUUCUAGCUUCCAAUUGGAGUUUUGUGUCUGACAUUUAUUAAUCUCUUUCGCUACAGUUGCUCGUCGUAGGAGGAGCUGACAUCAAUCCUGCAGAUCUGAAGGGAAAUUCUCCACUUCAUUUAAUGCCCUCUUGAUGGCGGGAGCCAGUGUUGCAGCCACCACCCUCAAAGGAGAUACUGUAAGUAUUUUUUCUUAUUUUUCUUAUGUUAUUUCUUAUUUAUGAAUGUGCAGGCUCUGCAUUUUACUGCAAGGAGAAGUGACUACACGAAUAUCAUUACUGCAUGAUCAAGAGUCUCUUGGCUGGAGGGGCCAUCCGUGGAGCCAUAAAUGCUUUUGGAAAGGUAAUACACCAUUAGAGAAAUAUAUACAAUUAUACAUAUCGUUUUUGAGUUUGGGUAUUGUUUGAUUUUACGGACACCUCUAAUGGUUGCAGGACUAUUGAAGCCAUAAAUCUUCUGCAAACUCCUUAACUACGUGUGUAGUUGCUGCAAUCACUUGGAUCAACUCUCUC